AUGAUGAUGACUUGCUACUUGGAUAACCGUAGUAAUUCUAGAGCUAAUACAUGCACAUAAAGCCCGACUGCUCUUCAGGAGGUGGUGUAAUAGCUAUUUCCUUUGCUGGGAGGGCUGUAUUUAUUAGAUAAAAACCACGAGGGCUUCGGUCCUACUCAUGGUGAUUCAUAAUAACUUCACGAAUCGCACGGCCUUGCGCUGGCGAUGAAUCAUUCAAGGUUCUGCCCUAUCAACUUUCGAUUGUAAGGUAUUGGCUUACAAUGGUUUUAACGGGUAACGGAGAAUUAGGGUUCGAUUCCGGAGAGGGAGCCUGAGAAACGGCUGCCACUUCCAAGGAAGGCAGCAGGCGCGCAAAUUACCCAAUCCUGACACAGGGAGGUAGUGACAUUAAAUAACAAUACAGGUCCUUAUUAGGUCUUGUAAUUGGAAUGAGUCCAAUUUAAACCACUUAACGAGUAACAAUUGGAGGGCAAGUCUGGUGCCAGCAGCCGCGGUAAUUCCAGCUCCAAUAGCGUAUACUAAAUUUGCUGCAGUUGAAAAGCUCGUAGUCGAAUUUCGGGACUGGAGAGGUCCGGUCUGCCAUAUCGGUAUGUACUGACCUCUCAGUUCUUUGUGGUGUUUGGGAGGUUGGGUCGGAGCUGCCGUGUAAUAGCGGUUGUUUUCGCCCUUCCGUUCCGGCAUCACGUCGCUCUUUCCCAUUGCGGGGCUUUCCUCUUAGUUGAGGGGGGUCAUCACCGUAUGGGAUCAUUUACUUUGAGAAAAUUAGAGUGUUCAAAGUAGGCAAAUCUUUUUUCCUGGUUCGCCAGGGCAACAAGCCGUUGAAUACUACAGCAUGGGAUAAUGGAAUAGGACAUGUUUCCUAUUUUGUUGGUUCUAGGAAGUGUGUAAUGAUUAAUAGGGAUAGUUGGGGAUAUUAAUAUUUCAGAGUCAGAGGUGAAAUUCUUGGAUUUCUGAAAGAUUAACUUCUGCGAAAGCAUUUAUCAAGGAUGUUUUCAUUGAUCAAGAACGAAAGUUAGGGGAUCGAAGAUGAUCAGAUACCGUCGUAGUCUUAACCAUAAACUAUGCCGACCAGGGAUUGGGAGACGUUAUAUGUACGACUCCCUCAGCACCUUGAGAGAAAUCAGAGUCUUUGGGUUUUGGGGGGAGUAUGGUCGCAAGGCUGAAACUUAAAGGAAUUGACGGGAGGGCACACCAGGAGUGGAGCUUGCGGCUUAAUUCGACACAACACGGGGAAACUCACCAGGUCCAGACAUAAUGAGGAUUGACAGAUUGAGAGCUCUUUCUUGAUUUUAUGGGUGGUGGUGCAUGGCCGUUCUUAGUUGGUGGGGUGACUUGUCUGGUUGAUUCCGAUAACGAACGAGACCUUAACCUGCUAAAUAGUUACGCAAACCCUUCAG
rnacentral:rRNA from 1 species